rnacentral:RNase_P_RNA from 1 species
AGAGCAGGCCGUUCUAUCGCUCUCCAGCAAAGGCUGGGGGGAGGAAAGUCCGGGCAACACAGGGCGCCGGGCUUCCUAACGGGAAGAUAUCCGUGAGGGUAUAGUCAUGGAACAGAAAAUAACCGUCCCGCUUCUUGCGGGAUAAGGGUGAAAAGGUGAGGUAAGAGCUCACCGGUGUUCCGGGUGACCGGAGCAGCCGUCCAUCUCCCGGGUUGAAAGACCACGUAUACCGGCAACUGAGGGUGGCCCGCCCGAUGCCGGGGGGUAGGUCGUUCGAUCCCGCAAGCAAUUGCGGGACAAGAUAAAUGAUAGAAAGACAGCCAGCCGUCUCGCGAAGACACUGCGGCUGUUUACAGAAUCCGGCUUACAGGUCUGCUCUCUUU